rnacentral:rRNA from 1 species
UACGUAGGGGGCAAGCGUUACCCGGAUUCACUGGGCGUAAAGCGCGUGUAGGCGGCUGGCCAAGCGUGGUGUGAAAUCUCCGGGCUCAACCCGGAAACUGCACUGCGAACUGGCCUGGCUGGAGUGCAGGAGAGGGAUGCGGAAUUCACGGUGUAGCGGUGAAAUGCGUAGAUAUCAUGAGGAAUACCAGAGGCGAAGGCGGCUACCUGGACAAUUGCUGACGCUCAGGCACGAAAGCGUGGGGAGCAAAAGGG